AUUGAACGCUGGCGGCAGGCUUAACACAUGCAAGUCGAGCGGGGGAAGGUAGCUUGCUACCGGACCUAGCGGCGGACGGGUGAGUAAUGCUUAGGAAUCUGCCUAUUAGUGGGGGGCAACAUCUCGAAAGGGAUGCUAAUACCGCAUACGUCCUACGGGAGAAAGCAGGGGAUCUUCGGACCUUGCGCUAAUAGAUGAGCCUAAGUCGGAUUAGCUAGUUGGUGGGGUAAAGGCCUACCAAGGCGACGAUCUGUAGCGGGUCUGAGAGGAUGAUCCGCCACACUGGGACUGAGACACGGCCCAGACUCCUACGGGAGGCAGCAGUGGGGAAUAUUGGACAAUGGGGGGAACCCUGAUCCAGCCAUGCCGCGUGUGUGAAGAAGGCCUUAUGGUUGUAAAGCACUUUAAGCGAGGAGGAGGCUACUUUAGUUAAUACCUAGAGAUAGUGGACGUUACUCGCAGAAUAAGCACCGGCUAACUCUGUGCCAGCAGCCGCGGUAAUACAGAGGGUGCGAGCGUUAAUCGGAUUUACUGGGCGUAAAGCGUGCGUAGGCGGCUUAUUAAGUCGGAUGUGAAAUCCCCGAGCUUAACUUGGGAAUUGCAUUCGAUACUGGUGAGCUAGAGUAUGGGAGAGGAUGGUAGAAUUCCAGGUGUAGCGGUGAAAUGCGUAGAGAUCUGGAGGAAUACCGAUGGCGAAAGCAGCCAUCUGGCCUAAUACUGACGCUGAGGUACGAAAGCAUGG
rnacentral:rRNA from 1 species